CGUGCGCAUGGAGAAUCCGUCACAGUCUUUGUUCGACAACAAGUAACUGAGUUAUAUCUGAAAAUGUGCUCCUCAGGAUUCAAUGUCGUUGCCAUUCCAGAAACUCGUUUUAAAGAAGUUAUUGAACAUUUGAGAUUUAAUUUUUUUGCUGAUGAACCUUUAAAUUGUGCAGUAGGUCUUUGUCGAAAAGGAGAGUCGCAUUUUGAAUUAGAAAAUCACUGCUUGGCUACUUUGAAACAAGGAUAUUCACGGAUGCUUGUCACAGAUGAUGGAACGAUAGGAGGUUUGGUGUUAAAUGGAAUAUUGAAGAAAGGUGAACGUGAAGAAGCUUUUCGACGUCUUGAAAAAGUUGAUGAUGAAAAAUUUAAAACAAUUUUUGGAUUGUUACAUACAUUGAAUUCGGCAGUUAAUCUGUUUACAACGCAUUGUACUGAUGAACUAUUCGAAUGUCGAAUUCUUAGCGUAGAUGAAAAAUUUCGUGGCCAAGGACUUGCUAACACUCUUUUGAGUGAUACUAUAGAAGUGGCUAAAAAAGCUGGUUUCAAGGUACUCAACGAGUUGGUGUUGAUACCUGCAUGAAUACUGUGUUCGGUGUAAAAAUGUUGAAAUUAAAAUGAAAAUUAAUUGUCUUACCUAUUUCAAAGAACCGUUUGUUUGAAGCAUGCAUCACUGUAAAUGUUUUUAAACGCAAGGUAAUUAAAGCUGAUGCAACAGGUAUAUAUUCGCAGAAGGUAUUCGAAAAACAUGGUUUCCAGACUGAAUUCAGAAUACCUUACUCUGAAAUUGAUGAAAAGCUCAGACCUAAACCACCUCACAAGGAGUUAAA
rnacentral:misc_RNA from 1 species